rnacentral:rRNA from 1 species
AUUGAACGCUGGCGGCAGGCCUAACACAUGCAAGUCGAACGAGUGGCGGACGGGUGAGUAAUGUCUGGGAAACUGUCCGCUGUCGGGGGAUAACUACUGGAAACGGUAGCUCAUACAGCAUACACUCGGAUGUGCCCCCAUGGGAUUAGCUCGUAGGUGAGGUAAAGGCUCACCAAGGCGACGAUCCCUAGCUGGUCUGAGAGGAUGACCAGCCACACUGGAACUGAGACACGGUCCAGACUCCUACGGGAGGCAGCAGUGGGGAAUAUUGCACAAUGGGCGCAAUCCUGAUGCAGCCAUGCCGCGUGUAUGAAGAAGGCCUUCGGGUUGUAAAGUACUUUCAGCGAGGAGGCGUUACCCGCAGAAGAAGCACCGGCUAACUCCGUGCCAGCAGCCGCGGUAAUAC